UAGCCUCCUCCGCAGGCAUCUCACUGAGGAAUCGGGUGGUGAGAAAAAGUUUGGUGAGAUGCCUGCCAUAAAUUGACACAAAAAUUUGCACUGCGCAUACCGGCUCGCGCAUGCAAAUUCCGACAAACUCAAACUUAGGGGGAGUAGGAAGGGCUUGCGGCAAGGAGUGAAGAAAUUUUUGUUUUCAACACGAUGGCUUAAAAGACGAGUAAAAC